GAUGAACGCUGGCGGCGUGCUUAACACAUGCAAGUCGAACGAUGAAGCCCAGCUUGCUGGGUGGAUUAGUGGCGAACGGGUGAGUAACACGUGAGUAACCUGCCCUUAACUCUGGGAUAAGCCUGGGAAACUGGGUCUAUUACCGGAUAGGAGCGCCUACCGCAUGGUGGGUGUUGGGAAGAUUUAUCGGUUUUGGAUGGACUCGCGGCCUAUCAGCUUGUUGGUGAGGUAUUGGCUCACCAAGGCGACGACGGGUAGCCGGCCUGAGAGGGUGACCGGCCACACUGGGACUGAGACACGGCCCAGACUCCUACGGGAGGCAGCAGUGGGGAAUAUUGCACAAUGGGCGAAAGCCUGAUGCAGCGACGCCGCGUGAGGGAUGACGGCCUUCGGGUUGUAAACCUCUUUCGGUAGGGAAGAAGCGAAAGUGACGGUACCUGCAGAAGAAGCACCGGCUAACUACGUG
rnacentral:rRNA from 1 species